rnacentral:rRNA from 1 species
UACGAAGGGUGCAAGCGUUAAUCGGAAUUACUGGGCGUAAAGCGUGCGUAGGUGGUUUCUUAAGUCUGCUGUGAAAGCCCUGGGCUCAACCUGGGAAUGGCGGUGGAUACUGAGGAGCUAGAGUGCGGUAGAGGAGGGUGGAAUUCCCGGUGUAGCGGUGAAAUGCGUAGAGAUCGGGAGGAACAUCAGUGGCGAAGGCGGCCCUCUGGACCAGCACUGACGCUGAGGCACAAAAGCGUGGGGAGCAAACAGG